rnacentral:rRNA from 1 species
AUGGCAGUGGCGCCUGAAGCCCCUUUGGUUAAUCACCUACUCUUUGCUGACAACAGUCUACUCUUUUUCGAGGCAAACGAUGAGGCUGCUACUAGGGUUAACGGACUGCUGAGAGUAUACUGCGAUGCUUCGGGACAGAGAAUAAAUGUGGAAAAAUCAUCAAUCUUUUUUAGUAAGGGGGUUGCGGAGUCGGUAAGGGGAGCAAUCAUGAAUAUCCUUGAUGUGCAUAAUGAGUCGACUGAGAAGUAUUUGGGUUUGCCAUCAGAUGUGGGUAGAGCAAAGGAAGGAUCUUUUAAAUAUUUGAAGGACCGAAUUUGGAAACGUGUUCAGGGUUGGAUGGAAAAGUGCCUGUCAGCGGAAGGGAAGGAAGUCCUCAUCAAGUCUGUAGCCCAGGCCAUUCCAACAUACUCAAUGGCAUGCUUUAAGCUACCCUGA